CGCCACCCCUCCUGGGGCAGGAGCUCUGGGGCAGGCGGACCACCGGGAGCGAGUGAUAUGGAUUUUAACAUACUGAAAGUUACAUCUUCAACACCCCGGACAUUGCCAAUAUGCCAAGAUUCUCAGAAAAUGUGUGAGAUGAAGAAGUGAUUCAGCUUAUCACCCUUCUGAGAAGCAUCUUUUGGCUCCAGAUGCCCCUGUGGGCUUCCCUUC